GUUUUUUUAAGUAAGCUCUAUGCCCAACAUGGGGCUUGAACUCAUGACCCUGAGAUCAGGAGUCACAUGCUCUACCAUCUGAGACAGC
ensembl:snoRNA SNORD33 Small nucleolar RNA Z195/SNORD33/SNORD32 family